rnacentral:piRNA from 1 species
UCUUUAUGUCUUGUGUUUUGAAUGGAAC